rnacentral:rRNA from 1 species
UCCGUAGGUGAACCUGCGGAGGGAUCAUUACUGAGUUUACGCUCUAUAACCCUUUGUGAACAUACCUAUAACUGUUGCUUCGGCGGGUAGGGUCUCCGUGACCCUCCCGGCCUCCUGCCCCCGGGCGGGUCGGCGCCCGCCGGAGGAUAACCAAACUCUGAUUUAACGACGUUUCUUCUGAGUGGUACAAGCAAAUAAUCAAAACUUUUAACAACGGAUCUCUUGGUUCUGGCAUCGAUGAAGAACGCAGCGAAAUGCGAUAAGUAAUGUGAAUUGCAGAAUUCAGUGAAUCAUCGAAUCUUUGAACGCACAUUGCGCCCGCCAGCAUUCUGGCGGGCAUGCCUGUUCGAGCGUCAUUUCAACCCUCAAGCUCUGCUUGGUGUUGGGGCCCUACAGCUGAUGUAGGCCCUCAAAGGUAGUGGCGGACCCUCCCGGAGCCUCCUUUGCGUAGUAACUUUACGUCUCGCACUGGGAUCCGGAGGGACUCUUGCCGUAAAACCCCCAAUUUUCCAAAGGUUGACCUCGGAUCAGGUAGGAAUACCCGCUGAACUUAAGCAUAUCAAUAAGCGGAGGA